CACGGCUAGUUUGCAGCGGGAAGGAUUUCUGUGGCUGUGUGGCUUGGUGAGCUCCUUUGUACCUGCUCUUCUUGUGUCACCCUUUGCCAUCAGCAAUUCCUAACAGCUCAGGGGUGUCCUGGCUGCUACUGAAGCUCUCCUGCUCGGACUGCUGCUGCAGCCUGAGCUGCCCUUCAUGUGGAUCGUGCUUCGACUGGAGUCAGCCUGCUCCUUGUGCUCUUCUGCAUUGGUUUCAUGGGUGCCAUCCAGAAGACAUGCUCGGCCACAAGUGGAGCAGAAGCCCCUGAGCAAUGUAGAGGCAAACGAAUGUGAUGUUGGUGAAAGGUCCUGGCCUGACCGCCCUGGGAAUUGAGCCCUGUGUAAGCCCUCAGCACAGAGGCAAAGGAUCCUGGCUACAGGCUGUUCUUCUCAUCCGGUUUCAAUGAUGGAAGAGGAAACAGAGUUUAUACAAAACCUAGCCCAGCCCCCAGAAACAUCUUGCUUUGUUUAUGUUCCGAGCUGAGCCUGCGACUCCGACUGUUUGGAAGAGCUAUCCAGACAUUUCUCCAUCUGACUGACUUCACAUCUAUUUCUCGGUCUCAUCGAGAGAUCUGGCUUUUAGCUCCCGCUCGUGACGUCCCACUUUUCUCUCUCUCUCGCUCUGCUCUCCAGCGUCUGAAAGAUCCAUGUAUAACGUGAUUAUGCAACCAUGCAAAUGGACACAGUUCUUUUCAUUUACUGCAAACCCCGCUUCGGGUCUUCUGUUAUGAAAAUAAAAUUGUUGGUGAGAGACACACUGUAGAAUGUAGCAGUAAGGGAGUUUUAUGUGGCUGGGUUUGAAUGCUUGAAGGUGGUAUUAGAGAUGGAAACAGACUAUUUGAAAUAAACUGGUGUGCCACCAUCUCUCCACA